rnacentral:rRNA from 1 species
CAGUCGCCGCGGUAAUACGAAGGGGGCUAGCGUUGUUCGGAUUAACUGGGCGUAAAGGGCGCGUAGGCGGGUUUUUAAGUCAGAGGUGAAAUCCCAAGGCUCAACCUUGGAACUGCCUUUGAUACUGGAAGUCUUGAGUCCGGGAGAGGUGAGUGGAACUGCGAGUGUAGAGGUGAAAUUCGUAGAUAUUCGCAAGAACACCAGUGGCGAAGGCGGCUCACUGGCCCGGUACUGACGCUGAGGCGCGAAAGCGUGGGGAGCAAACAGGAUUAGAUACCCCGGUAGUCCCUGUCUCUUAUAC